ensembl:lncRNA
UAACUGCUGUCUGCCUCAGUUUCCCUAUAUUUAAAAAUGGGGAUAAGAAUAGCACUUACCUCCCAAAGUUAUUGUGAAGAUCAAAUGAGAUAUUUGUAAAGGACUUAGUCCAGUGAUUGGCACAUAGCACUUAAUGCUUAUUCCCUUCCUUCCUUCCUUCCUUCCUUUCCUUCCUUCCUUUCUUUCUUUCUUGCCUUCUUUCUUCCUUCCUUCCUUCCUUUCCUUCCUUCCUUUCUUCUUUCUUUCUUUCUUUCUUUCUUUCUUUCUUUCUUUCUUUCUUUCUUUCUUUCUUUCUUUCUUUCUUUCUUUCUUUCUUUCUUUCUUUCUUUCUUUCCCUUACUUUCAGUCUUAGAAACAACUCUAACACAGAAGGGCAAGGGCUAGGUAAAUGGAGUUAAGUGACUUACACAGGUUCACAUAGGUAGGGAGUACCUGAGGUCAGAUUUGACCUCAAGACCUGCUAUCUCUAGGGCUGGCACUAACCCACUAAGCCACCUAGCUGUCCAGCUGAUCUGUGUUUUCUUUCAAAACAUGACUAAUAUGAAAAUGUUUCCCAUGACUGUACAUGUAUAACCUGCAUCAAACUGCUUUUCCUCUUAGGAGUAGUGGGAAGGAGAGGGAGGGAAUUUGGAACUCAAAUUUUUAAAAAACAAAUAUCAAAUAUUACAUUUUCACAUCAUUGGGAAAAAAACAAAUAUUAAAAAUUUAAAAAGGAAAACAUACUGAGUUUGAAAUGCCGGUGGGUCAUCCAGUUUGAGAUGUUGAAGAGACAGCUGAUGGAGCGUUUGAAUCUAAGUCUUCUGUAUUCAAAAAGAAUACUAGCAGCUGUCACCCUCCUCCCAUACACAGAUAAAUGACAUUAGUGGGAUCAUUAGGUUGGGUCCCCAGCUGACCCAGAAGGCCUCAGAUUAUCUUUAAUGGAUGCAGGGUUCUCAUCUGGAAUUUUGGGGAAAUCUCCUAUGUAGGAAAGGAAGAGCACUAACAAACUCAGCUGUGGCCAGAAUGGAAGGAGAAGGCUAGGGUCUGGGGCAAGGAAGCUUGUGGGAGGCUUUGCUAAGCUCCUUGGAAUCGGAGGAACGACACUUUCCAAGUCUUCAGCUAGAAGGAGACUGAGAUUGUGAUCUCUAAGGCCCUUCAUUCAAGAAUCACAGUCUUGGGAGAAACAAGGCAUUUGGGGUUUUGUUUUUAAGAAUUCCCAGUUCUGUAGCACAUGAAAUAACUCACAUUUAUGUAACGCUUUCAGAUUUACAAUCCACCUUCACAAUGCUGAGAGGUGGAGAACACCAACAUUAGAUAGACGAGAAAAUGAAGGCGAUGAAGUUAGGACUUGCGCAGUCACUGUUUCCCAACUCCAAGUCUACAAUGUUGGGGCAGCUGCUACAGGCAUGACUGCAAAGCAGAGCUGGGCUAUUCAGUAUAGUUUCCCUCCAUACUCAGUAGGGAAAACAUCCCCCAAAGGUAACUCAGGUGCUUCAUAUUAUAGGGGUCCAGCCCAAAGGUAACACUAAUUACGUGUAAGUUCUUGUGCCAGAUCUAGCUUCCAUAGUACAUCUCACAUAGCAGACACUCACGUGCUCAUUGGAUGGAGAAAACAGAAGCAGUUCAAAUGAAAUAUGGCAAAAACAAAAAAGCGCUAGCUGUUAGCAUCUCAGCCCAAGCUGCCUUGUUGCCUCUCAUGAAUAUGUAAAGGCAGGAACAGAAGCCUGCUCUAGACUAGCUUUAGUCUGGGACCACGGGUUACAAACAUAUACGAAUGAUGAUUUCGUAUGCCUCACAUUUAAACACCUGCCUCUUCUCCGCAUCAUUCUAGAUAGAAAGCAGAAUGCAGAAGGCUCUAAAAAGGAAACUGUUUAAUAAGGCAGGGAUUUAAAUCCUAUUGAAAUGAACUACAGGAGGAGUCUUUGUGGAUAUUUCUCCACAAAGUGUAACCGAUAGGGAUGGGGCAUUCGCCGAGUUCAGGAAGAUGUUCCUUUGCAGGAAAUCCCAGCUUAGAGAUUCCCUAUGUGAGAAUGCUUGCUGCUGCCUUACUCUUGUUACUAAUCAACAUGACAGGGGUCAUGCAUUACUAACUCGCUCAGCACUGCACACAACUCUCUGGGAUGGGUCAUGUCCACAAGAUUCAUUUUAACUCAGGAUGUCAAACCCAAAACAAAAAAUCCAAUUUAGUUUUUUGCCAGGGCCCACUAAGGAAUAAAGGGUUUUAAGAAGAGAAUUGGGAAGUACUG